rnacentral:rRNA from 1 species
AGAGUUUGAUCAUGGCUCAGAUUGAACGCUGGCGGCAGGCCUAACACAUGCAAGUCGAGCGGUAACAGGGGUAGCUUGCUACCCGCUGACGAGCUGCGGACGGGUGAGUAACGCGUGGGAACAUGCCCGGUAGAGGGGGAUAGCCCGAGGAAACUCGGAUUAAUACCGCAUACGCCCUGAGGGGGAAAGGUGGCCUCUAUUUAUAAGCUACCACUAUCGGAGUGGCCCGCGUGAGAUUAGCUAGUUGGUGGGGUAAAGGCCUACCAAGGCGACGAUCUCUAGCUGGUCUGAGAGGAUGAUCAGCCACACUGGAACUGAGACACGGUCCAGACUCCUACGGGAGGCAGCAGUGGGGAAUAUUGGACAAUGGGGGCAACCCUGAUCCAGCCAUGCCGCGUGUGUGAAGAAGGCCCUAGGGUUGUAAAGCACUUUAAGUUGUGAGGAAAGCAUUACUGCAAAUAGUGGUGAUGUGUGACGUUAGCAACAGAAUAAGCACCGGCAAACUCCGUGCCAGCAGCCGCGGUAAUACGGAGGGUGCGAGCGUUAAUCGGAUUUACUGGGCGUAAAGCGAGCGUAGGCGGCCAUGUAAGUUGGAUGUGAAAGCCCGGGGCUUAACCCCGGAACUGCAUCCAAAACUGCGUGGCUGGAGUAUGGUAGAGGGAGGUAGAAUUUCCGGUGUAGCGGUGAAAUGCGUAGAGAUCGGAAGGAAUACCAGUGGCGAAGGCGGCCUCCUGGACCAAUACCGACGCUGAGGUUCGAAAGCGUGGGGAGCAAACAGGAUUAGAUACCCUAGUAGUCCACGCCGUAAACGAUGAGUGCUAGCUGUUGGUACCGUAGGGUAUUAGUAGCGCAGUUAACGCGAUAAGCACUCCGCCUGGGGAGUACGGCCGCAAGGUUAAAACUCAAAUGAAUUGACGGGGGCCCGCACAAGCGGUGGAGCAUGUGGUUUAAUUCGAUGCAACGCGAAGAACCUUACCUACCCUUGACAUCCUGCGAAUCCUAUAGAGAUAUGGGAGUGCCUUCGGGAACGCAGAGACAGGUGCUGCAUGGCUGUCGUCAGCUCGUGUUGUGAAAUGUUGGGUUAAGUCCCGUAACGAGCGCAACCCUUGUCCUUAGUUGCCAGCGAUUCGGUCGGGGACUCUAAGGAGACUGCCGGUGACAAACCGGAGGAAGGUGGGGACGAGGUCAAGUCAUCAUGGCCCUUACGGGUAGGGCUACACACGUGCUACAAUGGUCGGUACAGGGGGAAGCAAGACCGCGAGGUGGAGCCAAUCUCACAAAGCCGAUCGUAGUCCGGAUUGCAGUCUGCAACUCGACUGCAUGAAGUCGGAAUCGCUAGUAAUCGCGAAUCAGAAUGUCGCGGUGAAUACGUUCCCGGGCCUUGUACACACCGCCCGUCACACCAUGGGAGUGGUUUGCACCAGAAGUAGCUAGUCUAACUUAGGAGGACGGUUACCACGGUGUGAGUCAUGACUGGGGUGAAGUCGAAACAAGGUA